rnacentral:rRNA from 1 species
GAGUAAUGUCUGGGAAACUGCCCGAUGGAGGGGGAUAACUACUGGAAACGGUAGCUAAUACCGCAUAACGUCGCAAGACCAAAGAGGGGGACCUUCGGGCCUCUUGCCAUCGGAUGUGCCCAGAUGGGAUUAGCUAGUAGGUGGGGUAACGGCUCACCUAGGCGACGAUCCCUAGCUGGUCUGAGAGGAUGACCAGCCACACUGGAACUGAGACACGGUCCAGACUCCUACGGGAGGCAGCAGUGGGGAAUAUUGCACAAUGGGCGCAAGCCUGAUGCAGCCAUGCCGCGUGUAUGAAGAAGGCCUUCGGGUUGUAAAGUACUUUCAGCGAGGAGGAAGGUGUUGAGGUUAAUAACCUCAGCAAUUGACGUUACUCGCAGAAGAAGCACCGGCUAACUCCGUGCCAGCAGCCGCGGUAAUACGGAGGGUGCAAGCGUUAAUCGGAAUUACUGGGCGUAAAGCGCACGCAGGCGGUCUGUCAAGUCGGAUGUGAAAUCCCCGGGCUCAACCUGGGAACUGCAUCCGAAACUGGCAGGCUAGAGUCUUGUAGAGGGGGGUAGAAUUCCAGGUGUAGCGGUGAAAUGCGUAGAGAUCUGGAGGAAUACCGGUGGCGAAGGCGGCCCCCUGGACAAAGACUGACGCUCAGGUGCGAAAGCGUGGGGAGCAAACAG